rnacentral:rRNA from 1 species
GCAAGUCGAACGCUAUCUUUGAUAGAGUGGCGCACGGGUGAGUAACACGUGGGAAUCUGCCCUUUUGUUCGGGACAACAGUUGGAAACGGCUGCUAAUACCGGAUACGCCCUUCGGGGGAAAGGUCCGCCGCAGAAGGAGGAGCCCGCGUCCGAUUAGCUUGUUGGUAGGGUAAUGGCCUACCAAGGCGACGAUCGGUAGGGGGCCUGAGAGGGUGGUC